rnacentral:tRNA from 1 species
GGGCGGCUAGCUCAGUUGGUCAGAGCACCUCGUUUACACCGAGGGGGUCGGGGGUUCGAGCCCCUCGCCGCCCACCA